rnacentral:rRNA from 1 species
UACGUAGGGGGCAAGCGUUGUCCGGAUUUAUUGGGCGUAAAGAGCGUGUAGGCGGCCAGGUAGGUCAGCUGUGAAAACUCGAGGCUCAACCUCGAGACGUCGGUUGAAACCACCUGGCUAGAGUCCGGAAGAGGAGAGUGGAAUUCCUGGUGUAGCGGUGAAAUGCGCAGAUAUCAGGAAGAACACCCGUGGCGAAGGCAGCUCGCUGGGACGGUACUGACGCUGAGGCGCGAAAGCGUGGGGAGCAAACAGG